rnacentral:rRNA from 1 species
GAUGAACGCUGGCGGCGUGCCUAAUACAUGCAAGUCGAGCGAAGCGGGGACGGGUGAGUAACACGUGGCUAACCUCCUAUAAGACUGGGAUAACUUCGGGAAACCGGUGCUAAACCGGAUACUUAUCGAUGGAUCCGGGCUGCAUUAGCUAGUUGGUAAGGUAACGGCUUACCAAGGCAACGAUGGAUAGCCGACCUGAGAGGGUGAUCGGCAACAAGGGAGCUGAGACACGGACCAUACUCCGACGGGAGGCAGCAGUAGGGAAUCUUCCGCAAGGGGCGAAAGCCUGACGGAGCAAAGCCGCGUGAGUGAGGAAGGGCUACGGAGCGUAAAACUCUGUUAUUAGGGAAGCGGUACCUAAUGAGAAAGCCACGGCUAACUACGUGCCAGCAGCCGCGGUAAUAC